rnacentral:rRNA from 1 species
AUGCCCGCGGACGAGAUGGCGAGCGACGCUCGGAAGCUGGAGAACCAGCAGAUCAAGGAGAAGGCCCUGUUUGACUGCGAGCGCGCGUCGGCGCCCAAGGCGUCGACGGACCAGUUCAAGUGCGGGCGUUGCGGGCAGCGCAAGACGACCUACUACCAGCUGCAGACCCGGAGUGCGGACGAGCCGAUGACGACGUUCGUGACGUGCGUCAACUGCAACAACCACUGGAAGUUCUGCUGA